AUGUAGCGCAAUGGAUAGCACGUUGAACUUCUAAUACAAAGGUCAUGGAUUUGAAUCCCACCUGAUAUG